GUUGUAUGGUUAAGUGACUAAGCGUACACGGUGGAUGCCUGGGCAGUCAGAGGCGAUGAAGGACGUACUAACUUGCGAUAAGCGCAGAUAAGGCAGUAAGAGCCGUUUGAGUCUGCGAUUUCCGAAUGGGGAAACCCAACUGCAUAAGCAGUUACUGUUAACUGAAUACAUAGGUUAACAGAGCAAACCGGGGGAACUGAAACAUCUAAGUACCCCGAGGAGAAGAAAUCAACCGAGAUUCCGGUAGUAGCGGCGAGCGAACCUGGAUUAGCCCUUAAGCACUCGGUGAAGUAGGUGAACAAGCUGGAAAGCUUGGCGAUACAGGGUGAUAGCCCCGUAACCGACGCUUCAUCGAGCGUGAAAUCGAGUAGGGCGGGACACGUGAUAUCCUGUCUGAAUAUGGGGGGACCAUCCUCCAAGGCUAAAUACUCCUGACUGACCGAUAGUGAACCAGUACCGUGAGGGAAAGGCGAAAAGAACCCCUGUGAGGGGAGUGAAAUAGAACCUGAAACCGUGUACGUACAAGCAGUAGGAGCACCUUCGUGGUGUGACUGCGUACCUUUUGUAUAAUGGGUCAGCGACUUAUAUUCAGUGGCAAGGUUAACCGUAUAGGGGAGCCGUAGCGAAAGCGAGUCUUAACUGGGCGUUCAGUCUCUGGAUAUAGACCCGAAACCGGGUGAUCUAGCCAUGGGCAGGUUGAAGGUUGAGUAACAUCAACUGGAGGACCGAACCGACUAAUGUUGAAAAAUUAGCGGAUGACUUGUGGCUAGGGGUGAAAGGCCAAUCAAACUCGGAGAUAGCUGGUUCUCCCCGAAAGCUAUUUAGGUAGCGCCUCGGACGAAUACUACUGGGGGUAGAGCACUGUUAAGGCUAGGGGGUCAUCCCGACUUACCAACCCUUUGCAAACUCCGAAUACCAGUAAGUACUAUCCGGGAGACACACGGCGGGUGCUAACGUCCGUCGUGGAGAGGGAAACAACCCAGACCGCCAGCUAAGGUCCCAAAGUAUUGCUAAGUGGGAAACGAUGUGGGAAGGCUCAGACAGCUAGGAUGUUGGCUUAGAAGCAGCCAUCAUUUAAAGAAAGCGUAAUAGCUCACUAGUCGAGUCGGCCUGCGCGGAAGAUGUAACGGGGCUAAGCAAUACACCGAAGCUGCGGCAAUAUCUUUUAGAUAUUGGGUAGGGGAGCGUUCUGUAAGCCGUUGAAGGUGGAUCGUAAGGUUUGCUGGAGGUAUCAGAAGUGCGAAUGCUGACAUGAGUAACGACAAAGGGGGUGAAAAACCUCCUCGCCGGAAGACCAAGGGUUCCUGUCCAACGUUAAUCGGGGCAGGGUGAGUCGACCCCUAAGGUGAGGCCGAAAGGCGUAAUCGAUGGGAAACGGGUUAAUAUUCCCGUACUUCUGACUAUUGCGAUGGGGGGACGGAGAAGGCUAGGUGGGCCAGGCGACGGUUGUCCUGGUUCAAGUGCGUAGGCUUGAGAGUUAGGUAAAUCCGGCUCUCUCUAAGGCUGAGACACGACGUCGAGCUGCUACGGCAGUGAAGUCAUUGAUGCCAUGCUUCCAGGAAAAGCCUCUAAGCUUCAGAUAGUCAGGAAUCGUACCCCAAACCGACACAGGUGGUCGGGUAGAGAAUACCAAGGCGCUUGAGAGAACUCGGGUGAAGGAACUAGGCAAAAUGGUACCGUAACUUCGGGAGAAGGUACGCUCUUGAUGGUGAAGUCCCUCGCGGAUGGAGCUGACGAGAGUCGCAGAUACCAGGUGGCUGCAACUGUUUAUUAAAAACACAGCACUGUGCAAAAUCGCAAGAUGACGUAUACGGUGUGACGCCUGCCCGGUGCCGGAAGGUUAAUUGAUGGGGUUAGCGCAAGCGAAGCUCUUGAUCGAAGCCCCGGUAAACGGCGGCCGUAACUAUAACGGUCCUAAGGUAGCGAAAUUCCUUGUCGGGUAAGUUCCGACCUGCACGAAUGGCGUAAUGAUGGCCACGCUGUCUCCACCCGAGACUCAGUGAAAUUGAAAUCGCUGUGAAGAUGCAGUGUACCCGCGGCUAGACGGAAAGACCCCGUGAACCUUUACUACAGCUUGGCACUGAACAUUGAACCUACAUGUGUAGGAUAGGUGGGAGGCUAUGAAGACGUGACGCCAGUUGCGUUGGAGCCGUCCUUGAAAUACCACCCUUGUAUGUUUGAUGUUCUAACUUAGCCCCAUUAUCUGGGGUGAGGACAGUGCCUGGUGGGUAGUUUGACUGGGGCGGUCUCCUCCCAAAGAGUAACGGAGGAGCACGAAGGUGGGCUAAUCACGGUUGGACAUCGUGAGGUUAGUGCAAUGGCAUAAGCCCGCUUAACUGCGAGAAUGACGGUUCGAGCAGGUGCGAAAGCAGGUCAUAGUGAUCCGGUGGUUCUGUAUGGAAGGGCCAUCGCUCAACGGAUAAAAGGUACUCCGGGGAUAACAGGCUGAUACCGCCCAAGAGUUCAUAUCGACGGCGGUGUUUGGCACCUCGAUGUCGGCUCAUCACAUCCUGGGGCUGAAGUCGGUCCCAAGGGUAUGGCUGUUCGCCAUUUAAAGUGGUACGCGAGCUGGGUUUAGAACGUCGUGAGACAGUUCGGUCCCUAUCUGCCGUGGGCGUUGGAAGAUUGAAGGGGGCUGCUCCUAGUACGAGAGGACCGGAGUGGACGAACCUCUGGUGUUCGGGUUGUGUCGCCAGACGCAUUGCCCGGUAGCUAAGUUCGGAAUUGAUAAGCGCUGAAAGCAUCUAAGCGCGAAGCGAGCCCUGAGAUGAGUCUUCCCUGA
rnacentral:rRNA from 1 species